rnacentral:rRNA from 1 species
GACGAACGUUGGCGGCGUGCUUAAUACAUGCAAGUCAACUGAAGCACCGGUAGUAAUACUGGUGUGGAGGUGGCGCACGGGUGAGUAACACGUAGGUAAUCUGCCUUCAGGUCUGACAUAACCCCGAGAAAUCGGGGCUAAUAGCAGAUGAUGCAGCGGCUUGACAUCAAGACAGUUGUUAAAGCUUCGGCGCCUGAAGAUGAGCCUGCGUCUGAUUAGCUAGUUGGCGGAGUAAUGGCCCACCAAGGCUACGAUCAGUAACUGGUCUGAGAGGAUGAUCAGUCACACUGGAACUGAGACACGGUCCAGACUCCUACGGGAGGCAGCAGUAAGGAAUAUUGCUCAAUGGGAGAAAUCCUGAAGCAGCAACGCCGCGUGAGGGAUGAAGGGCUUUUGCUCGUAAACCUCUGUAGUGAGGGAAAAAUUUCCACUCUGUGGAAUAUGAUGGUACCUCAAAAGUAAGACCCCGGCUAACUACGUG